UACGGAGGGUGCAAGCGUUAAUCGGAAUUACUGGGCGUAAAGCGCACGCAGGUGGCUGAGUCAGUCGAUUGUGAAAGCCCUGGGCUUAACCUGGGAAUUGCAGUCGAUACUACUCAGCUGGAGUAUGGGAGAGGGUAGUGGAAUUCCCGGUGUAGCGGUGAAAUGCGUAGAUAUCGGGAGGAACAUCAGUGGCGAAGGCGGCUACCUGGCCCAAUACUGACACUCAGGUGCGACAGCGUGGGGAGCAAACAGG
rnacentral:rRNA from 1 species